GUGUGUGUGUGUGUGUGUGUGUGUGUGCGUUUGUCAAAGUGACAUAUGGGGACAUUUUUAUGAAAUUUCACCUUACAUAUGAGGACCUGUUGAAAUAUGGGGACAUUUUCCAUGUCCCCAUAUUUCCCGCAAUGCUAUCGUGUUCUAGACCCUCCCAGCAUGUUCCCAGACCAAAAAUCUCUAAAGUCUUCAUUUGUCAAAUUUUCAGAAAAAGUGUGUGAAAGUGUGUUUAAUUUUUUUGGUCACCUUCGAUUUUGCCCCUAGUGGCCAUCUUUGCUAUUAUGACACACACACACACACACUUGUCCUCAUAUGUCAUAUGUCCUCAUAUGUCAUGUGGGUCAGAAACUCACACACUCCGACAUUUUGAAAAACAUCUAACCAUUACAGCAAUAAACAUACUCUUGAAUUCUGAAUCAAAUAACAACACAUUUUCAACUGAUCUGAUGAUCUCAUCCUUUUUAGUGUUAGUUUUAUCUAUUAAUUUGGUUUAUCUGGAGAGGAUUUGGGCUAGACAAUUAGUAAUAAAGGGAUUAUGGUGAUGAUUUAAUUUGUUUGAUUCAGUAUUUUACUGUAUUGGACUUUUUGCUAUUCUGUUGACUAAAAUACAAGGCCGCACAAUAAUUGCUUUAAAUGUGCCUGAAAUGUAGGUUUUUGCAUAAAAAAAAACAACCUUCAACCUUGAUUGAGACAAAGGCAAUAAUUCAAAUGCAAUUCAAACUACACACAGUAUUUAAUAUUUUCAAAUGGUUACAAUAGCACAUUAUUUGGGUAUUUUUAUCUUUGGGGCAAAUUUAGGAUUAAUAUGGGGAUUGUUUUUGGAGGUAUUCACUUUACAUGGUGUUCAAGAUGGUUACUUCCGCCCACUCUGAAGAGUCUCGGCGUCUGAUUGGUCCAAUUUUCAGUUAGGCGCCGCCUGAUUGGCCGCUGGACGAUGUCUGCUCCUAACAGAGGGCUAAAUCACUAGUUAACUAUUUUCAUCAUGGAAAUUAUACAGCUCACGUAUCACACUUAAUAUUGAAUAUAUAUAAAAAGGGUUUUCCAAAAGGACCAUUUAUAAUCGAAAUACAAAACUUCACACACGAUUUUGAGCACAACAGAGCGCUCAGUGAACAUCACUUCCGGGACCUGCAUCACCGGAGGGGGACAUCUAUCUUGGCCACAAACCAUCUUUGACAGUCUUCGGCAGCAUGGUUGAAUCAGGCGCAUCAACACAUGAUAUAGACAUCGUGCCCAAAAGAAGAGCGAGACGUAAUCCUGAGGCUGAAGCUACCGAGUUUAUUUGAUCUGGAUGUGACAAGUCUUGUUUUAAGGCCCAGUGGAUCAAUGAUUGGAAAGACACCAACUGUUGAUGUUCUAUCUCAACAUUCUCCAGACUCAUGUGACCGAUAAACCGACUUCAUCCCUCCAACAGACACCAACUGUUGGGGUUCUAUCUCAACAUUCUCCAGAUUCAGAUGUGAGCGAUAAACCGACUUCAUCCCUCCAACAGGUUAUUACAAGUCUAUUUUUACUAUAUCUGCUCUAAAUGUGACCCAACCUAUAUUUUGAAAGACAUUUAUUAAUUUUAAUCUCUCACAGAUCGUUUAUAUGACAACAUUUUCGUAAGAGUACAUCCAUGUUAGUCAGUAAGGAGUUUGGAACUCAUGUUUAGCAAAACAGGAGAUGUUACAAGUCAACAACAUACAUUCUACAUGUGACCCCUCGUCAUGUCCUUAUAUUGUUUGAACCAAGAAAGACUUAGGUGUGUUUCAUAUAAGGUCCUCAUAUUUUCUAAACCAGAUUAGUGUGUGUUACAAUGUUAAUGUCCAAGCUUUAAAAUGUGUGUCUCAAUUCAGGUCCUCAUAUUUUCUGAACCAGAUUUUAGUGUGUUUUAUAUUCUUAAUUAAUUGUCUAAGAGCUAAAACGCUAUAAUAAUCUUUACUGUUUAUGUAGAAUUAUAUGCUCAGAAUAUUAUCAACCAAAAGUGGUUGUUAAUGUUAUAAUUAAUUAGUUCUGACAUUAUAUUUUUGUGUUUUGUUGCAGACACCAACUGUUGGGGUUCUAUCUCAACAUUCUCCAGAUUCAGAUGUGAGCGAUAAACCGACUUCAUCCCUCCAACAGAAACCAACUGUUGAGGUUCCAUCUCAACAUUCUCCAGAUUCAGAUGUGAGCCAUUAACUGACUUCAUCCCUCCAACAGAAACCAACUGUUGAGGUUCUAUCUCAACAUUCUCUAGAUUCAGAUGACAGCCAUAAACCGACUUCAUCCCUCCAACAGAUUGACAGCAGGACAAAUCGCUGGAAGUAGGUAUGUCUCAAGCUUCUUCCACUUGGUCCACUCCAAAGCGGGCUGCAAAGGGGAAGAAGUGGAAGCAGUUGAAUGACACAUGUUGCAUUUUGUAACUGGCAACAAAGUACCAGGUAAAAAAGAUUGUGAAGCCUCCCUCCAUAAAGAACUAGUAGCUCUACAGGACAGAGAUUGGCUUGCCAUCAAGUACUACAUCCAUAACAGAAUUAUAUUAAAAAAAGGGGAAAAAAAUGUUUUCCCACAUCUUCUGUGGUAGUUUGAGUAUGUUACCAGCAAUUAAAAAAGCAAAAUAAA